UAUCGUGAAUGCUUACAGAGGGCGAAGUAUAUUGGCCAUCAGAAACACAAUACAAAACUUUUAGUCGCCAUGGUGAGACAACAAUUCAAGAAAAACAUGCAUGAAACUGAUCCAGAGAAGAUACAGAAAAUGAAGGACGAUGCUGCAAGGGGCCUUAUCAAUCAUAUUCUAUAUGAGUCCGAGAAGAUUACAGGACGCAAGUUUUCAGG